GUUGGUUAAGUCCCGCAACGAGCGCAACCCUCGACCUUAGUUGCCAGCAUUCAGUUGGGCACUCUAAGGUGACUGCCGGCUAAAAGUCGGAGGAAGGUGGGGAUGACGUCAAAUCAUCAUGCCCUUAUGACCUGGGCUACACACGUGCUACAAUGGGCGGUACAAAGGGUCGCGAACCCGCGAGGGGGAGCCAAUCCCAAAAAAGCCGCUCUCAGUUCGGAUUGCAGGCUGCAACUCGCCUGCAUGAAGCCGGAAUCGCUAGUGAUCGCGGAUCAGCAUGCCCGCGGUGAAUACGUUCCCGGGCCUU
rnacentral:rRNA from 1 species